GCUAAUGAAACUGUGAGAUUACAUCCCAGGCGUUGUCAGAGCCUAUUUUUCAUACACCACCACCAGACAGUUUGAUGCAGUAUUCCUGAUUGCUUUUUAUCGUAUUUGUAAAUACACUCACUAAUCCACUAAAUUAGGUAAUUUACAAACAGGUCCUCUCAGUUAUUAGUGGCCAGCAGUCAAGUUCUAUUACAUUUGAUCCCCAUACAGUUGUCUAAACAUUUCCACCCAGGUUAAGGGCUCGGAUCGGAGAAGGAGGUUGGCGAAAUUUGGAUGGGGGCAGGGUGGAAGCUGGGAGAAAUCUCUGCAUCUCAGCGCUCAGCGACAUUCAGCCAGUACCCACAGAAAAACUAAAUUCGGCACCUCUUCCUCCUGUUACACUGGCAACAAAGAGGGAGUUUCCGAAACGCUCCCGUCACCCACCAGGUGCCCAAUCUCCUGGCCGGCCCGGAGCCAGCGCUCCCGCAGGGGCCUCGGCGCGGGCAGGCCGCGGUGCCCGGGGUCAAGGCACAAAGGGGGGAUGGGGUGGGAGGCGGCGAGCGGGCCCGGGAAGCGGCCGUGCCAGGGCUCCGGCCCCGGGGAAACACUUGAGCCCGGCCGGGGGCGGGGGCGAGAGGAAGGGGGCAGAAUAUCUAAUGGAGCAGAAACUGGUGGGAGAGGCGAGGAGCCCAGGUCGGGUGCACGUCCAGGGACACAGAACGCAGUCGGCGGAGGUUCCCUUUCAAUUUGAUCAGAAAUCUAUCAUACCACAAGGCUGGUGAAUCCUACACGUGUUAAAGGGCCUGCUCAUGACUGCCACCAGCCUCCCUAAGCUUCCUUCUGCAGAGUUUCAUUUAUGGCUUCUUCAAAAGUAG